AUCACCCCGGAACUGAAGCAUGCGCGGACUGUUGUGAAAACACAUUCUGUUGUUUACUCUGUAUAGUGAAGAUUUCUCCAGAGUUCCUGAAUCAGCUAAGCCAUUAGCAACCUCCAAACUCCUAGCCUUCAAAAUUCCAGCCUCGGACCUCACGACUUCUGAACUCCUGGCUUCAGAACUCUCAGCCUUGGAUCUCACGGCCUCCGACUUGCAGGCUCGGAACUCUCAGCCUCAGCACAGACCCGACGAGGCGUCCUCUUGGACCGUUAUGAUGGUCUGCCGGCCCAGCAUGGCUUCGGCAUGAACUUCUGUCUCAAGGUGAUUCCAGAGCAUUCUCCUGGCCUCAUGAACCCUGAGCUGAAGCCAGGCAUGGUCUGGAGUUGAAGCCCAGUGCAAACUGGAGGCUAAGUGCCAGCAUGAACUGGGUAGGAAGACCUGUUCUGAACUUUUUUCUCCAUUUUAUAAUUUAUUCCAAUAAUCUGCAG